UAUAAAUAUGUGUCCAUACCCCCUAUAUGAAUUAGACACUCAUAUAGGGCUACUACGCUCGCGUCCAACGCUCACGUCACACCAUAAUGCGGCUAUAUGCUACGCCAUUAAGGUGGACAGACACAUAUGGCUAGCUAGCAUUUUCUAUACAUACUCUCUCAUAAAUACAUAUUUAUAUCCACCGAAAAUCCCAUUUUCGGUAUCUCUCCAAGAGAAAUAUAAAUCGUCAAAAAUUAAAAUGACGUCAAAAUGCUCCACGACAUUAAUUGUUCAUUCAUGAACCAUAGCAUGCAUAUUAUUUAAAACAAAAGUCCACUCACAAAUUAGGCCUAAGCCUGAUGUCGAUCUGGGGCCUCAUCUGCUCGAGCCUCCUCACGUCCUGUUCCAAAUAUAAUAUUAAUUUCCCAACCAAUAAUCCAAUAUUUAAUCAAAAUAGGCAAAAUUACCCGAGAGCCAUAAAUACGCUCAUCAUUGCCUAACUUCGAUAAUCUUAAAUCGGAACGAUCCGAACUUAAAUAUCAUACUCAACAGUCGUAAAUACCACCUCCUCAAAAUACGACUUAAAUCCUACGGCCGGAUUCUACAUUAAUUAACCGCAAAAAAUACCAAACUUCGGAAAUUCACAAACCUAUCCAAAUCUCAUCCAAAAAUUCCAUAAAUCACAUCAAUAUACUCCUCUUAAUAUUCCACACUUAAAACCCUAAAAAUCUCCUAACCGGCGGCGGCGCCGGCGGCAGCUCCGCCGGCAGCGGCGGCCGGAGGCCGAUUCCGGCGACCUCCAAUGCUCACCAAAAUUAAACAGCAGCUUCCUCUCAACCUACUCUACAACUUUCUUAACUAGCACUAAGUCCAAUUUCAAGCCUAAAUAGGGUAAUCGAAUCAAAACAUCCAAAAAUCACCCAAUUCAAACCCUAGCCCGAAAAUCCUCUUACACACUUCGAAUUGGAUCAUUACCUUCUAGGGAAAAGCUACACACGGAGAGCACUUCCAAAUGGAACUGAAAUCAUCCGAAAUGGUGGCCGGAAGAGCGAGUUCCGGCGUCGGGACUCCACCACGCAGCCGAAGCUUCCGGGCGAGCUCCCUCCUUCACGGCGGCGCUAGGGCAGCUCUCACCGGUCCAAGAAGAAAGCUGGGUCAACGGCCGACCGAACGUGACCGGUGCGGCAGUCCCAGGCGGCCGGA
rnacentral:lncRNA from 1 species